AUGGCAGAAGGAGCAAAGAGGUAUGCAGUUGUUACAGGUUCAAAUUGGAUUUGGAACAGUUAAGCUAUUGGCUUCAAAAGGGGUCAAGGUUGUGCUAACUGGAGAGGUCUUGAAGCUAUUGAAAAGCUAAAAGAAUAUGGCUUCUCAGACCUUGUGGUUUAUCACCAGCUCGAUGUAACAGACCCAAACAGCAUUGCUUGCCUUGCUGAUUUUGUCAAAUCUCAAUUCGGGAAACUCGAUAUCUUGGUAAACAAUGCAGGGAUAGGUGGAACCAUUGUAGACCCUGAAGCUUUCAAAGUAGCUGCAGCUGCAGUCGAUUUGAGUAAGCUAAUCACUCAAACAUACGAGUUAGCUGCAGAAUGUGUUAAAACAAACUACUAUGGUGCCAAGAAAAUGACUGAAGCAUUCCUUCCUCUCCUUCAGCUGUCUGAUUCUCCAAGAGUUUCCAAUAUUACUUCUGGCCAUAUACCAAAUGACUGGGCAAAGAGGGUGUUGAGUGAUGCUGAGAAUCUUACAGAAGAGAAAAUAGAUGAGGUAUUGAGCGAGUUUCUAAAGGACUUCAAAGAAGAUAUGCUGGAAACCAAAGGUUGGCCUACUGCCCUCUCUGCAUAUAUAGUCUCCAAAGCAGCCUUGACUGCUUACACUAGAAUUGUAGCCAAGAAGCACACAAACUUCGGCGUCAAUUGUGUCUGCCCCGGGUUUGUCAAAACAGAAAUGAGCUUCAAUGCUGGAGUCUUGACCCCCGAUGAAGCUGCUGAGAUUAUCGUGCGGUUAACAGUGUUUCCGAAUGGCAAUCCUACUGGACUCUUCUUCUCUUCAGAAGAAGUUUCACCCUUUUGAGUUAUAUGUUCUGUCAGUUUUAUGCAAUGUAAAUCUAGUAUUUCAAAAAAAGUUGUUUAUCAUUCAUUGAUGAAGGUAUCAUAUAAGGACGUUUUGUAGUAAUAUUACUACUACACAUUUGUAGUAGUUUCAUCCUUUUCUUCUCUCUUUCUCAAUUUGCUUCUUGUGUUUCCCAGGUAUGCAGUUGUGACAGGAUCAAACAAAGGAAUCGGGUUCGAAACUGUAAGGCAGUUGGCCUCAAAGGGAAUCAAUGUGGUCUUAACUGCUAGAGAUGAGAAGAGAGGUCUUGAAGCUGUUGAGAAACUUAAAGAGUCUGGCCUCUCAGCCCAAGUGGUUUUUCACCAACUCGAUGUGGCUGACCCUGCUAGUAUUGCUUCUCUGGCACAAUUCGUCAAGACCCAGUUCGGGAAACUCGAUAUUUUGGUGAACAAUGCAGGGAUUGGUGGAGUGAUAAUUGAUGCUCAUGGAGGACAGAUUAAUUGGACAAAGUUCUUGACUGAAACUUAUGCGUUAACAGAAGAAUGCUUGCAAAUCAAUUAUUACGGUGCUAAAAAAACAGCUGAAGCACUUAUUCCACUUCUCCAGCUCUCUGAUUCACCAAGAAUUGUUAAUGUUUCAUCCUCUAUGGGGAAGUUAAAGAAAAUACCAAGUGAUCGGGUGAAAGGAAUUCUUAGUGCUGACAUAGAGAACCUAAGCGAAGAGACUGUAGAUCAAGUACUGACAGAGUUUCUAAACGACCUCAAAGAGGGUUCACUUGAACUCAAGGGUUGGCCUACUCUGAUGUCAGGCUAUACAGUCUCAAAAGCAGCAAUGAAUGCAUACACAAGGAUUCUAGCCAAGAAAUACCCUGGAUUUUGUGUCAACUCUGUCUGCCCUGGUUAUGUCAAAACAGAUAUAAAUUUCAAUACCGGCUUCAUGACUGUUGAAGAAGGCACUGCAAGUGUAGUGAAGUUAGCAUUGCUGCCCAAUGAUGGCCCUACUGGCCAGUUCUUUUUCCGUUCUGAAUCAUCUACAGCAUAUUCAGCCAAGAUGUAUGCAGUUGUGACAGGAGCAAACAAAGGAAUCGGAUUAGAAACUGUAAGGCAGUUGGCCUCAAAGGGAAUCACUGUGGUCUUAACUGCUAGAGAUGAGAAGAGGGGGCUUGAAGCUGUUGAGAAACUUAAAGAGUCUGGCCUCUCAGGCCAAGUAGUUUUUCACCAACUUGAUGUGGCUGACCCUUCUAGUAUUGCUUCUCUUGCACACUUCAUCAAAACACAGUUUGGGAAACUCGAUAUUUUGGUGAACAAUGCUGGGAUUUUUGGAGCUAUAGUCGAUGCUGAUGGUUUUAGAGCUGCAAUUGCAUCUGGUGCUUCAAGGGAAGCAGGACAAAAUGAUUUCAAAAAGUUGGUGACUGAAACUUAUGAGUUAGCUGAAGAAUGCGUGCAAAUCAAUUAUUAUGGUGCUAAAAGGACAGCUGAAGCACUUAUUCCACUCCUCCAGCUAUCGGAUUCACCAAGAAUUGUUAAUGUUUCAUCCUCUAUGGGGAAAUUACAGAACAUACCAAGUGAUCAGGUGAAAAGAGUUCUUAGAACUGAUGUUGAGAACUUAAGUGAGGAGGCUGUAGAUCAAGUAUUGACAGAGUUUCUAAAAGACUUCAAGGAGGGUUUACUCGAAACCAAGGGUUGGCCUUCUGUGGGGGCAGGCUAUACAGUCUCAAAAGCAGCAAUGAAUGCAUAUACAAGGAUUUUAGCCAAGAAGUACCCUGUUUUUCGCAUCAACUCUAUCUGCCCUGGCUAUGUCAAAACAGAUAUAAACUUCAAUACUGGUUUCUUGGCUGUUGAAGAAGGUGCUGCAAGUGUAGUAAAUUUAGCAUUGCUGCCAGAUGAUGGCCCGACAGAGGUAUAUAUCUACUCCAUGUCCUUAGUUUACUUUUGGCUUACCAUUUUCACUUUUUGUUCUGAACUUGCUCUUCUUUUCUGCAGGUAUGCAGUUGUCACAGGAUCAAAUAAAGGAAUCGGAUUCGAAACUGUAAGGCAGUUGGCCUCAAAUGGAAUUACUGUGGUGUUAACUGCUAGAGAUGAGAAGAGGGGCCUUGAAGCUGUUGAGAAAUUGAAAGAGUCUGGUCUUUCAGGCCAAGUGGUUUUUCACCAACUUAAUGUGGCUGACCCUGCUAGCAUUGCUUCUUUAGCGCUAUUCAUCAAGUCCCAGUUUGGGAAGCUCGAUAUCUUGGUGAACAAUGCAGGUAUUGGUGGAUCAAUAAUUGAUGAUGAUGGUGCUAAAGCUGCAGUUGCAGCUGGAAGACAACUUGAUUGGCAAAAACUGGUGACAGAAACUAAUGAGUUAACAGAAAAGUGCUUGCACAUUAAUUAUUACUGAGCUAAAAGAACAUCGGAAGCACUUAUUCCACUCCUCGAGCUUUCUGAUUCACCAAGAAUUGUUAAUGUUUCAUCGUCUGUGGGGAAGUUAAAAUACAUACCAAGUGAUAGAGUUAAAAGAAUUUUCACUGAUGUCGAGAACCUAAAAGAAGAGAGUAUUGAUGAAGUAUUGACAGAGUUGGACUACAAGGAGGGUUCACUUGAAAGUAAGGACUGGCCUUCUUCUAUGUCAGGCUAUACACUUGCAAAAGCAUCACUGAAUGCAUAUACAAGGAUUCUAGCCAAGAAAUACCCCAGUUUUCUGGUCAACUGUCUCUGCCCCGGCUAUGUCAAAACAGAUUUUAACCUCAAUGCUGGUGCUGUGCCUGUUGAAGAAGGUGCUGCGAAUUCUGUGCGGUUGGCGCUGCUUCCCACUGAUGGCCCUUCUGGCCAAUUCUUUGUUCGAUCUGAAGUUAGCAUUUACUGA